rnacentral:rRNA from 1 species
GACGAACGCUGGCGGCGUGCUUAACACAUGCAAGUCGAACGGAAAGGCCCUGCUUUUGUGCGGUGCUCGAGUGGCGAACGGGUGAGUAACACGUGAGUAACCUGCCCUUGACUUUGGGAUAACUUCAGGAAACUGGGGCUAAUACCGGAUAGGAUCUCCUGCUCCAUGGUGGGGGUUGGAAAGUUUCGGCGGUUGGGGAUGGACUCGCGGCUUAUCAGCUUGUUGGUGGGGGAGUGGCUUACCCAGGCUUUGACGGGUAGCCGGCCUGAGAGGGUGAACGGCCACAUUGGGACUGAGAUAGGGCGCAGACUGGUACGGGAGGCAGCAGGGGGGAGUAUUGCACAAUGGGCGGAAGCGUGAUGCAGAAACGCCGCGUGCGGGAUGACGGCCUUUGGGUUGUAAACCGCUUUCGCCUGAGACGAAGCGUGAGUGACGGUAAUGGGUAAAGAAGCACCGGCUAACUACGUG